GAGGAAGAAGGUCUUCGGAUUGUAAACUCCUGUUGUUGAGGAAGAUAAUGACGGUACUUAACAAGGAAGUGACGGCUAACUACGUGCCAGCAGCCGCAGUAAAACGUAGGUCACAAGCGUUGUCCGGAAUUACUGGGUGUAAAGGGAGCGCAGGCGGGAAGACAAGUUGGAAGUGAAAUCUAUGGGCUCAACCCAUAAACUGCUUUCAAAACUGUUUUUCUUGAGUAGUGCAGAGGUAGGCGGAAUUCCCGGUGUAGCGGUGGAAUGCGUAGAUAUCGGGAGGAACACCAGUGGCGAAGGCGGCCUACUGGGCACCAACUGACGCUGAGGCUCGAAAGUGUGGGUAGCAAACAGGAUUAGAUACCCUGGUAGUCCACACCGUAAACGAUAAUAAGGGGUGUGGGAGGAUUGACCUUUUCAGUGCCGCAGUAAACACAAAAAGUAAUCCACCUGGGGAGUACGACCGCAAGGUUGAAACUCAAAGGAAUUGACGGGGGCCCGCACAAGCAGUGGAGUAUGUGGUUUAAUUCGACGCAACGCGAAGAACCUUACCAAGUCUUGACAUCCUGCGACGAUGCUGGAAACAGUAUUUUCUUUCGUGACGCAGAGACAGGUGGUGCAUGGUUGUCGUCAGCUCGUGUCGUGAGAUGUUGGGUUAAGUCCCGCAACGAGCGCAACCCUUACUGUCAGUUAUUACGCAAGAGGACUCUGGCAGGACUGCCGUUGACAAAACGGAGGAAGGUGGGGAGGACGUCAAAUCAUCAUGCCCUUUAUGACUUGGGCUACACACGUACUACAAUGGCGUUAAACAAAGAGAAGCAAGACCGCGAGGUGGAGCAAAACUCAGAAACAACGUCCCAGUUCGGACUGCAGGCUGCAACUCGCCUGCACGAAGUCGGAAUUGCUAGUAAUCGUGGAUCAGCAUGCCACGGUGAAUAAGUUCCCGGGCCUUGCACU
rnacentral:rRNA from 1 species